rnacentral:rRNA from 1 species
AUGUGCCGGUAGGUAUAUAUAUUGCGUGCGGCAACUAGUGGUCACGUCCAUCGGAAUAGCUAGCCGUUCGUCCUUCCUUCCGGUCGAUGUUUCACAUGUUACCGCCCUUAGCCGCCGCGCGCAGCUAGUCGUCUACUGCGUGCUCAACCCCAGGAGGAGCCGCGACACUCGCUCCACCAUGUCCACGCCCACCAUGCCGCCGCCGCCCAUGGUCAUGCAGCCCAUGAGGUGGCCGAAUGGGCGCAGCAAGAACAGCGGCAGGAAGAAGAGGAGGAACCGGCCCGGCUGCCUCUUCUAGACGCGGCACCCCUUCCCGAACGACGCGUCGGACCGGUGCUGCCGCUACCCCAGCUGCCACGGCUGCUGGCAGUAGAAGACCAGGAAGUACAGGUGCCGCUACACCAGCUAGGGACUCCUUCACUCCCAACAACAGCACUCUUGAUCACAGUUUAAG